GAUGAACGCUGGCGGCGUGCCUAAUACAUGCAAGUCGAGCGAACGGACGAGAAGCUUGCUUCUCUGAUGUUAGCGGCGGACGGGUGAGUAACACGUGGAUAACCUACCUAUAAGACUGGGAUAACUUCGGGAAACCGGAGCUAAUACCGGGUGAUAUUUUGAACCGCAUGGUUCAAAAGUGAAAGACGGUCUUGCUGUCACUUAUAGAUGGAUCCGCGCUGCAUUAGCUAGUUGGUAAGGUAACGGCUUACCAAGGCAACGAUGCAUAGCCGACCUGAGAGGGUGAUCGGCCACACUGGAGCUGAGACACGGUCCAGACUCCUACGGGAGGCAGCAGUAGGGAAUCUUCCGCAAUGGGCGAAAGCCUGACGGAGCAACGCCGCGUGAGUGAUGAAGGUCUUCGGAUCGUAAAACUCUGUUAUUAGGGAAGAACAUAUGUGUAAGUAACUGUGCACAUCUUGACGGUACCUAAUCAGAAAGCCACGGCUAACUACGUG
rnacentral:rRNA from 1 species